GCCGCCAAGAUUAGGGGCACCGAGGCCGCCAAGAUUAGGGGCACCGAGGCCGCCAAGAUUAGGGGCAACAGAGGCCGCCAAGAUUAGGGGCACCGAGGCCGCCAAGAUUAGGGGCACCGAGGCCGCCAAGAUUAGGGGCAACAGAGGCCGCCAAGAUUAGGGGCAACAGAGGCCGCCAAGAUUAGGGGCAACAGAGGCCGCCAAGAUUAGGGGCACCGAGGCCGCCAAGAUUAGGGGCACUGAGGCCGCCAAGAUUAGGGGCACCGAGGCCGCCAAGAUUAGGGGCACCGAGGCCGCCAAGAUUAGGGGCAACAGAGGCCGCCAAGAUUAGGGGCAACAGAGGCCGCCAAGAUUAGGGGCAACAGAGGCCAUGGCCUCCGUGUAAUUACAGAUCUGUUUCUGUUAUUUUAUACUGAGAGUCUUAGAGGCUUUAUUACACAAUUGGCAGUGCAUAUAAAAUAGUAUGGCUUGAACAACCACUGGACCAUCGGCCAGAGUCCAGUAAUUUUAGCCACUUGGCCAGCAACUCACAUUGCUUGAAAUAAUCACUGGACCAUCGGCAAGAGUCCAAUAAUUUUAGCCACUUGGCCAGCAACUCACAUUGCUUAAAAUAAUCACUGGACCAUCGGCCAGAGUCCAGUAAUUUUAGCCACUUGGCCAGCAACUCACAUUGCUUGAAAUAACCACUGGACCAUCGGCCAGAGUCCAGUAAUUUUAGCACUUGGCCAGCAACUCACAUUGCUUGAAAUAACCACUGGACCAUCGGCCAGAGUCCAGUAAUUUUAGCCACUUGGCCAGCAACUCACAUUGCUUGAAAUAACCACUGGACCAUCGGCCAGAGUCCAGUAAUUUUAGCACUUGGCCAGUAACUCACAUUGCUUGAAAUAACCACUGGACCAUCGGCCAGAGUCCAGCAAUUUUAGCACUUGGCCAUGCAGUAAAUCACAGGGUUUAUUUUUGUUUUCAUUGCUACAUUGUAGUUUGGUUUUACUUAAGAACUUAUUUUAAAAGUAUUGAGUAUUGAUGUUUUUUAAAUGUAUAUAACAGAUACAAUUUCUAUGCAGAUUCUAGAUUCUAGUUAUUAUAUUCGCAUUUAUGUUUUUAUUGGAAAUAAUUCUGCCACAAUAUUUUAAUAACUUUCGAUAAUUUUAAGUUUUUUUUUUUUCCCCCAAGAUUUUCAUAAAAUCUGCUUUAUGUAUUCAGGUCGUACAAUGCUGCUUUUUAAUCUGUGUGCAUGAACAAAAAAAAUGCAAUAAUAUUCGUGGCAAUAAGUUGCCCAGUUCUUUCCUGACCCCCCCCCCCCCCCCUUGUGGGAGGGGGGACCUUUUUAAGUUUUAGUUGUGAUAUAUAUAUACUUUGCUUUGGAAUGCUUUUAAAACAAUACUUAAACACUUUUUUUUAAACGAUCUAUGAGGAAUAAAAAGUCGAUAUUAAGAAGGAGUUCAUGGUUAUUUGUUGUUGUUUGUGUUGUUGUUUUCUCCUGUUUAUUUACAUAAUCAAAUAGUACAUCAAACCCACAACCCAAAUUUAUUUAAGUUUCUUUAUAAUCUAUCGCAAACAAUAAAUGCAAAUGUCAAUAGU